CUAUGCCUUCUUGAACCAUGAAAUGGCUCUUUUUCCAACUUAAUACUAGGUUGGUCUCCUUACAUCUUUUCAUACUAGAGUUAAAUUAUCCAGACAAUUGUCAAAAGAUAAGCCAGAAACGGAGAAAUCAUCAAUGAAUACUUCUAGAAAGUUUUCCACCAUAUCUGAAAAAAUGGCCAUCAUACAUCGUUGAAAAGUUGCGGGUGCAUUGC
rnacentral:lncRNA from 1 species